UACGUAGGGUGCGAAGCGUUGUCCGGAAUUAUUGGGCGUAAAGAGCUCGUAGGCGGCUUGUCGCGUCGGAUGUGAAAGCCCGGGGCUUAACCCCGGGUCUGCAUUCGAUACGGGCAGGCUAGAGUUCGGUAGGGGAGAUCGGAAGUUCCUGGUGUAGCGGUGAAAUGACGCAGAUAUCAGGAGGAACACCGGUGGCGAAGGCGGAUCUCUGGGCCGAUACUGACGCUGAGGAGCGAAAGCGUGGGGAGCGAACAGG
rnacentral:rRNA from 1 species